UGGGGAAUUUUGCGCAAUGGGGGAAACCCUGACGCAGCAACGCCGCGUGAGUGAUGAAGGCCUUCGGGUCGUAAAGCUCUGUCAGAGGGGAAGAAAUGCAGGGGUGCUAAUAUCAUCUUUGCUUGACGGUACCCUCAAAGGAAGCACCGGCUAACUCCGUGCCAGCAGCCGCGGUAAUACGGAGGGUGCGAGCGUUGUUCGGAAUUAUUGGGCGUAAAGCGCGUGUAGGCGGUUUGGUAAGUCUGAUGUGAAAGCCCCGGGCUCAACCUGGGAAGUGCAUUGGAAACUGUCAGACUUGAAUACGGGAGAGGGUAGUGGAAUUCCUAGUGUAGGAGUGAAAUCCGUAGAUAUUAGGAGGAACACCGAUGGCGAACGCGGCCACCUGGACCGAUAUUGACGCUGAGACGCGAAAGCGUGGGGAG
rnacentral:rRNA from 1 species